GGGGGCGUGGUGCAAUUGGCAGACACGGCCGGUUUAAGACCGGCUGGCUUCGGCCUUGUGGGUUCGAAUCCCACCGCCCUCACCA
rnacentral:tRNA from 1 species